AUAUCAAACUUAGUGGCGCACGGGUGCGUAACGCGUAUGCAACCUACCUUCAACUGGGGAAUAGCCCCUCGAAAGAGGGAUUAAUACCCCAUAGUAAUUAGAUAAGGCAUCUUAUUUAGUUUAAAGUUCCGGCGGUUGAAGAUGGGCAUGCGUGACAUUAGCUAGUUGGUGAGGUAAUGGCUCACCAAGGCUACGAUGUCUAGGGGUUCUGAGAGGAUGAUCCCCCACACUGGUACUGAGACACGGACCAGACUCCUACGGGAGGCAGCAGUAAGGAAUAUUGGUCAAUGGACGCAAGUCUGAACCAGCCAUGCCGCGUGAAGGAUGACGGCCCUAUGGGUUGUAAACUUCUUUUGUACGGGAAUAAACCCUUCUACGUGUAGAAGGCUGAAUGUACCGUAAGAAUAAGGAUCGGCUAACUCCGUGCCAGCAGCCGCGGUAAUACGGAGGAUCCAAGCGUUAUCCGGAUUCAUUGGGUUUAAAGGGUGCGUAGGCGGAUUUGUAAGUCAGUGGUGAAAGCCUGCAGCUCAACUGCAGAACUGCCAUUGAUACUGCAAGUCUUGAGUACACUUGACGUGGGCGGAAUGUGUCAUGUAGCGGUGAA
rnacentral:rRNA from 1 species